AACGUAGGAGACAAACGUUAUCCGGAGUUACUGGGCGUAAAGGGCGUGCAGGUGGUCUGUUAAGUCUGGCGUGAAAGCUCCUGGCUAAACCGGGAGAGGUCGUUGGAUACUGGCGGACUAGAGGACGGUAGAGGCGUGUGGAAUUCCGGGUGUAGUGGUGAAAUGCGUAGAGAUCCGGAGGAAUACCAGUGGCGAAGGCGACACGCUGGGCCGUACCUGACACUGAUACGCGACAGCAUGGGGAGCGAACGGG
rnacentral:rRNA from 1 species